CUCGAUCAAAAUCUAUAAGAAUCUACCAGAACUGUUUAAUGGAUGCACAAUAACGUUUUCUUUUCGAGAAGACAAUGAAGAGGAUGAUAAAUCUAUAACAAGUUUUCUUGACGGUUCGUACUUGCAUCUACAUAAUUUGAUACAGAAAGUAUUCCAAUUGAAGAGAACUAUUUAUAUAUUUAUUUUGUUUUCAAUAAUAAAUGUAUAUUUAUACAUAGAUAUAAAAAGAGGAACAUCAUGCGUCUCGUUUCUCCAAUUAUCAUUUAUAUUGCAAAUUCUAGUUUUCAAUCUUAUUCUAAAUUGAAUCGAUGAUAUUGAAAAUGGAACAAGAAAAUGCAUUAAAUAAAUAUGUCUGUUUCAUGUCUAUGGUCGUAUCGACUGCUUUGCAUUCCCACUGUUUCAAUGCUUAAUUAUAUAACAUUCAAAUUUAAAGAAGAAAAACGAGCACCAUAAGAAUAUAAAUACAUUUGAAAGUAAAAGGAUUACUCUCGAAAGUUAUUUUUCAUUAAUGAACAGUGAGGAUAUCCAAGAGUGAUGAUUGCUAUUAUUUACACAGUGUCCAAUACGUAAAAUAAUUUUCGAAAGUAAUUCUCCAGUUUUAUUUUCAAAUGUAUUCACGUUCCUUGAACGUACCAGUAUAUCGUAUUUUUCUUUGUCUAUGUUAGAUAAGAUAAUAUGAAAUAAAUCGAAUUCAUGAUACAUUUUGUUUCGACGAUAUAUAUAUUUAUAAAUUUUCACUUUCUCGAAUAAAGUUUCUCAAAUAAAUAAUAAUAUAAAAUAAAAUCAAUCUUUUACAAAGUCGAAAAUCAUAAAAUCUCGCUCUCUUGUUGAAUCAUUAACUUCAAAUUUCCAGCAGAGACUCGCAAAAAGCAUAAUUAAAUAUCAAGCACGAAUCUUUCGAAAUCCUUUGCUGAAGUCUCAGGUCACUUGAGGACAAAUCCUCUCUUUACAUUCCAUUCUUUACGAUGAGCCGGCGAAUAAUAUCACAAUGUUGGUCAGAUUUGGUUCUUCACAGACUAAACCGCCAACCGCCCUCGUUUACAUUCCACAUUUUACGAUCAGGAGAAACAUAAUUUCGCAGAAUUUAUUGCGAAUGUCGUCUGUAGUUCCGACAUCAAUGUUAAUCGAGACACAAAAUAUAUCCUUAAUGAUACCUAUACUUUUCGGGCAUUCGAUACUGUGCUCGAGAAAUAAAGUCAAACUUGGUCCCUUCAUACAAUCGAAAAAGAUGCAGAGCAUCGUAAAUAAAACUAGUUUUCGAAAUACACUGAUCGUGAAAAGUAUUCUUACAGCUAAAAUAUUUUAUAGUUACGAUUAUUGAACUAUACUUGUAUGUAGUUUAAAAAAAAAUAUAUAUGAAAUAAAGAAAAGAAAAAUAUUGACGCAUAUAAA